GAUGAACGCUGGCGGCGUGCUUAACACAUGCAAGUCGAACGGAAAGGCCCAAGCUUGCUUGGGUACUCGAGUGGCGAACGGGUGAGUAACACGUGGGUGAUCUGCCCUGCACUUCGGGAUAAGCAUGGGAAACUGGGUCUAAUACCGGAUAGGACGAUGGUUUGGAUGCCAUUGUGGAAAGUUUUUUCGGUGUGGGAUGAGCUCGCGGCCUAUCAGCUUGUUGGUGGGGUAAUGGCCUACCAAGGCGUCGACGGGUAGCCGGCCUGAGAGGGUGUACGGCCACAUUGGGACUGAGAUACGGCCCAGACUCCUACGGGAGGCAGCAGUGGGGAAUAUUGCACAAUGGGCGCAAGCCUGAUGCAGCGACGCCGCGUGGGGGAUGACGGCCUUCGGGUUGUAAACUCCUUUCGCUAGGGACGAAGCGUUUUUGUGACGGUACCUGGAGAAGAAGCACCGGCUAACUACGUG
rnacentral:rRNA from 1 species